AUGAGUGGCUUCAUCUUUUCCUUCCAGACUGUAUUGCCACAUGCCUGAAAGCAGUAGCCAGCCAAUCAUGGACUGGAGCCUCUAAAAUUGUCAACCAGUUCUGUUCAGUCUCUGCUCCCUGUCCAUGACGCCAUGAUCAGCCUGUGAUCACAACCGACAUAUCCUGAGAGGGGAAUCGAGGCUAGACAGCCUGGAGUGGAAGAGACCUCCCAUGGCAGUGUGGUGAAUGCUCUUACUUAAAAGAGUGGUACACUUAUCUGGGCAGCACGCCAAAGUCGCAUUUCAAAGAACGAGUUAAUUUUCAUGGUGAGGGUUUUUUUUUUUUUCCCCAUUUGAAACAUUCCAGUCCCUCUGAACUUUGGUUCCUGUACUUUGUAAAACUGAGGGUUGGAACAGGGUCAGAGACACAAGCCACUGCUCUCUGGGAAGACCUUAGACCCCUGCGGCACUUCUAGGGCUGGGAAGAGACCACACAGCAGGCCCUGCUGUGUUGCAGGCAAUAGAAUUCUAAUCCAGGGAGAAGAGAAGUAUUUUUAAAAAGGCAAGGUUUUGUAUUAGCUGGGGACAGUGUCCCCUGCACUUGCGACAUGCUGACACUGGCCACUUGGGGGGGGUGUUUUCCCCUCUGGCCAUUUAACCUGAAGCUUACUGAACGGAAGAAAGGCUAGUGCCUGUCUCUGAGCUGGAACAUUCGGUUCUGGCCAAUUCAACCACUGAUAACCGGAAAUCAAGUCAAAAGUUGAAAGAGAAAACCCAGCAGAGAGUCCAGGUUUUUGAAAUAGCACCUGGUAAUGGGGAAAAACAACUGAGGCCUUGAAAGGGGCCAGUCCUGGAAGUCAGCGUCUGUUAUCGAAGCGCCUUCCUGCAUCAUUACAAAAAAAAAAAAAAAAAAAAAAAAAGAACAAACUUUCUGCGUAUCCCAGGGGAUUAAAAGACAAGUGGAGUGCACCAGACAGGGGUAAAUCAAAAUGAAGAACACAAUAAAACCACACUGAAGAGGAUCAGAAUAAAACAAAAUAAAGAAACGGAACUCAAAACAUCAAGACAGGAGAAAAGAUGCUGGCAGGUGGGAAGGUGCGCCACAGACAUAGGACGGGUACGGACAGAGUCAAAAUCCCAGCUCGCCAAGUCCUUGAGAAACAAUAGAAAGUCAAUUCACAGUCAAGUUCGCCGAUGAAGUGAAAUGCUGGUUUAAAUACUGUAGCAAAUGCACCAAAUAGGAAAAUGAACGUUUUCACAGGAAGGUUCAGGGAGAAACUUUGAAGCGAGCAACCGGAUGCUUCAGUAGCAGCUGGGAAGCCCCGCCAGGGGCGCGCCCGGCGUGGGUGCGCAGUUUACAGAAGGACUAUUGGAAACUAUCGACUUUCUCUUAGUGCUAUCUGCCUGGUGGAAUAGCAUUUUCGCUAUGGCACUGAAGAAGGUUGUGGGGCGCCACGUCUUUCUUAGAAAUCAAGCUCUCAGACACACGGAAUCACUCAAUGUCCUUGUCCAGUGGUAACCAGAGCAGCCAAGGGAGAUUUGUGCCUGGCAAGUUCUAGUCCAGUCACGCAGGCUUGUAGGCCCGAGAUGAUGAAAAAAAGUCAUGGUGGGAGGCACAGGACUUCUACCUGGGAGGCUCAGGGCCAUGGGAUGCCAACAAAAGCUACCAGGCUCUAAGUUACCAGACAGCUUUAGAAGACCGCAUUGCUCCUGGGCGAGGCUCACACGAUAUCUGCUUUACAGCAUGGUCUGAAUCCAACCAUAUUCCCAAAGACAUUACCCAUGGAUAGACCCACCCGGACUGAUGGCAACACCUCUUCUUGGCCCAGAAAUCACAAAUGGGUAUCUCAACAAUUUCAUCAAAUCGCUUAUAGGCCAUUUCUUCCACUGUAGAGCGCAUGCGCUGAGCACAACUGCC